rnacentral:lncRNA from 1 species
UACCAUUUAAUGCCUGUUUCUGUACGAUUUAGACACUGUCCUGAGAAGAUGAUAUAUCUCACUUAAUAAGAAAGAACCCCUGUGAAGCGUAUAUUAUUAUUCUUGUUUUAUAGAUGAGUCGGCUGAGCGCAAAGCAUUCCUAUUACGCGCACGUUGCUGUAUGUAUAGUGGACAGUUCUGCUCCCCUGCAGCUAACUCUGAAAUGAAGCCUGUUACCUCUCCCAGGAAUCAAACCCCUAAAGAUGAGGAUUGGAAACGAGAACUGGAAACAUGUGAAAGCCCAGACACAACCCUAAUCCACUUGAAAAAAAAAAAAAGUGACAACUUUCUUUCCUUCGGAUUAAAUUCCUGGUGUAUAUUUUUUUCUGGAGAUAAGUCUUAUUACUGAUGUUUGGAGGCAGGGUUGCAGGAGGUUUUAAAUAUCUUCAGGAGAGGGGAACACUUUUUUUCUAUCAGGGUCACUUGAAAUUAUUUACUAAAUGAUUUAGCUCAGCUCCUUUUAGAAAGAAACAAAAGAUUUGCAAUCCUUUGGCUGUUCUCACUGAUAAUACUCACCGCACCAGACAACAACAUGUAUUUCGUUCAUCUAAGUGAAGAGCAAUUCUCUUGCCUUGAAUGUCAGGGUGACCACUGAGAUUUGAAUUAAUUUUAAAAACAAAGUCUGAUAUUCCGAGUUAACCAUUUCUGAGAAAUACACAUGAGAGUGACUGAUACUCUUCGACUGUAUGAGUUAUUUUGUAUGCAUGGAUGGGUGGACAGGUGGCUGGGGAGAUAGAUAGAUGCUACUUUUGAUUAUAGAAUGGAAGAAUCAUUUUGGUUACUUUUUUCUUUUUCUGGAAUGUUUUGUUAUUGCAUAAACUUUAGCAAAUACAGACAUGUACAAAGAUGAAAAUAUCACCUUUAAAAAGACCUCUGCCUUUUUUCCCCGUUGGUUACCAGUGUCCAAACCCACAUUUCAAAGGAAGAAUGAAGACUUUGGUGGAGAGGAAGGCCCUCCCCGCUUCAGAAGCCUAAAGGGAACAAAUACAUAUAUGUUUUUUCUCCUCCCCAGAUGCUAAGCUGUGGGCAUGUGAGUUAGGCCCAUGUACAUGGAGGCUCCCUGUUGGGAUUCUGAAUUUUGAGCCCAUGAUGCAAAAGUGGCAG